rnacentral:sRNA from 12 species
CCCACGGCUGACGCUGUGGGCUACUCUGUGACGCCGCUACGCGGCU